GAUGAACGCUGGCGGCGUGCUUAACACAUGCAAGUCGAACGAAAAGGCCCUGCUUGCUGGGUACUUUAGUGGCGAACGGGUGAGUAACACGUGAGUAACCUGCCCUUAACUCUGGGAUAAGCCUGGGAAACUGGGUCUAAUACCGGAUAGGAGCGUCCACCGCAUGGUGGGUGUUGGAGAGAUUUCUCGGUUUUGGGUGGACUCGCGGCCUCUGAGCUUGUUGGUGGGGUAAUGGCUCACCAAGGCGACGACGGAUACCCGGCCUGAGAGGGUGACCGGCCCCAUUGGGACUGAGACACGGCCCAGACUCCUACGGGAGGCAGCAGUGGGGAAUAUUGCACAAUGGGCGAAAGCCUGAUGCAGCGACGCCGCGUGGGGGUGACGGGCCUCGGGUUGGUAACCCCCUUCGCGUAGGGAGGAGCCGUAAGUGACGGUACCUGGAGAAGAAGCACCGGCUAACUACGUG
rnacentral:rRNA from 1 species